CUUAAAGCCAAUGCACAUUAUUUCAUUUAUUAAUUUUUUAAUUUUUUUAAUUAAACUGUAUACCAAUUAAUUGCUCCUUCAGGAUUUAUAUUUUUUUUUCACGAUUAAAACCGCGUAGAAUGUUUAGGCAUUAUAGUUGACGCAUGCGCAGUACACAUAUUUUGCAUACAUUUAUUCAACUAAUAAAAAUAGUAAAUUAAACAAAAAACGAGUAAUUUCGAAAGAGAACAAACGUGUUUUAUAUAAGAACAAUCGAAAAUGAAUAUUUACGAAUCAUUAAGGAUGAAAAAAUAUUAAAAAUUGCAUUAGAGGGGCUAACUUGUAGGUAUAUUUUUAAAUAUUUUUUUUAAAUAAAUAAAUGCAGAACAAACAAUUAUUAACAGUGAACAAUCAUGAACAAAUGAAUUAAUAGAAAAUAAGUAUAAAAUAGGAAAAAAAAUUUUUUUUGAGGGGCUAACUUCAUUCACCUUGGGAGUUGCACCCCCCUGGAUAGACAUUUGACAUUUAACAUCAAAUAAAAUGGAAUUCAAUUAUCUAUGAUCUGCACCAGGGGGGUGCAACUCCCAUACAAAGGAAAAUAACAUACAACUAGCGUCAUCUUACUCCUGUGGCGACGUCAUUUUUGUAACUUUUAGGCAUUAAUGAUCUAAUAAACUCACUAGAUGGCAGAUAUGAGUUCUGACUCAAUAAAAAAUGUAGCGUACUUUGAAGCAGUGCUUCCACUUUUAGGGAAUUCUCCCUUUUUUAGGGAAAAAUAGCUGAUAUUUUGGAUGAUAAAGACAAUUUAAAAAAUACCAGGAUUUAGGAUAUUUCGGGGUAAAAAGCAAAGCCUAUACUAGUAACUGUUGUAAAUUUUAAAAUAAACGAUAAUUAAAGUAAAACAAUGAACAUUUUAUUUUAUGGAGAGAGAAUGACAUUAAGUCGAGUUGACAAGUAAAAGAAUAAAACAGAGUUGUGUAUAAAAACUAUAAAGGUUUGAUUCAACAGUAACCCUCUAGUAAAGUAAAUCAUAGAUUAAGCCACUGCUUUUUCUUAGGGAUUCCCCAGAAUCCCAAUAAGUAUAAUCCGCCAAAUUUUUAUUUACCUAUUUUCGUUGAUGUCACUAGAACUUACUUGUAUUGUAAUAUACAGGUACUUCAUGUACCAUGAAAGAUUAUCAUGGUAAUUUCAUUUACGAAAACCUUGUAAUUGUCAUUUCACUUUUGCUAGCAGUUCCUUCUUCAAAGACUGAGGUGGAAAGAUUAUUCAGUGUUCUCAAAUUUAAAAACUGACAAAAGAAACAGGCUUUCUAAUGAAACCCUGAACGGCUUGCUUCAUAGAAAGUUCCCAACUUUGCCAGCAAACAAUUGCUCAAUUUUAGAACCGAACAGUGUUAGGUUGUGCAGCAAAAGAAUAUAAAGGCAAUGCGUCGACUUCCUUGAAAAUUCUAAUCCUAUAGAUCUAUGAUCUUCUGGGGGCGUUUAUAUUAUAUAUACCUACAUUAAAUAAUAUGCUGUGGUUUAUUUUCUGUAUUUUAUUUACGCUUUCUAUAUAAAGAAUUUAUGAAAGUUGUCUAGGAAAUUUUAGGGUAAAUUCAAAAGAAACUAGGGUAAAAUGUGUUAAAAAAAACGUAAGUGGAAACACUGCUUUGAAGUUUUCAAAAUUCCAGGGCCGUAAAACAACCUCAAAAAAAAAAAAAAGUUUUCAAAAUGUCGUAACGAUUUAAUUUUUUAAAUCGUUUUUUUUUGGUCUUGGUGUGAGUUAUUUUACGUUGUAGUAUUAAUUUAGAGCAACUUUUAGCUUUAUGAGAAUAUUAGACGAUUAGACAUUGAGAAACUCUGUUUUGAAUUCUCUUUAGACAUAACUUGGCUCCAAUACUUUUUUCUUCGUUAGCGUUUCGUAAGCCUGUGUAACUAUUUUCAUUUCUUACAGAAUGUUUAUUAUUAAAAAUCAGCAUGUCUCGAAGAUCGAAAAUGAAAUGCUAUUUCGGAUGCCUUGAUAACGGUGAGUUUACACUAUUUUCCCGGUAUAUUAUUUGCUAACAGAAUUAUUAUUCAUAAUAUAAUUAAAUGAAUUAGCACCAACUAAUGGUCCUUCCUAUUUCUGCUGCCUAGCUAUCAUAUAUGUUAAGUUUUGAUCAAAACAGUCGGUAUUAAGUCUCGUACUAUCACACACACACCUCAGAUAAUAAAAUUGUCUCGAGUGGGUGGAAGUAUUUAUGUUUUGCAACUCAGCGUAUUAUAUGCUUAUUGUCAAGUGGGCCCGAACUAGUUUUUUGGAAUGAUCAAUCAGUCAUGCUUUCCUGUUUAAAUAAAAUACAGCACAAUUGAUCUCACAUCCAAAGUUAGAUGAUGGCAUUCACGUUUUGUUUCCUGGUGUUUGAUAACUAAGUUACACCAAGUGGCCUGUGACCACGUUCAUCCUUCUACCCAAUAUAAAAUAAUGUUUUUAUUUUUGUAGACAAAGGUUUGAUAAUGACAAAAUUUUAUGGAAAAAUUAUAAGGAGCACUAAAAUGUCUGAAACAUGAAAAGAUUGAUGCACUAUAUUUGAACCAGAACGUGUUAUGUAAUAUAUUAAUUUAAGAGAAACUGAUUCAGCAAGGAACGUGAACUCUCAAGGGAUCUUAAUUUUUUUUAAAUAUGUUUAUAAUUGAUAAAUUAAUAAUUGAAAUAGUUCAUAAGAACUAAAUUGAUGCCAAUUUUGUUUUAAAAUAGGUUGUUUAGUUCUUAUAGUUAUAGUAUUACGUUUGAAUAGUUGUAAUUAGUAAGUUAGUAAUAUAUGAAAAUACUGAUAUAAAUUUUUGUAAAUAACCUUUUGUAAAUUCUACGAGAAGAUGAUUUUAAUUAAUGAUCAAAAGUCAACGGUCUUUAAAAGCAUUAUUUGCAAUUAUUUAGAUUAACUGUGGAAUAUAUUUGCUAAGUUGUGUUUUCUGUAUGAGCAGAUAUAAAUGAAAAUGCCCAAACAUGAUUAUGUUUCUUACAUUUUCAUUAUGUGAAAUCAAUAUGCUUGUGACUGAGUAUAUUAAUAAUUUAUUAAAACUUAAGUGAUAGACAGCAACCCCUAUGGCACUGCUGAAGUUUAUAAGCACUGGUGACCACUUAUCAUGGGCCGGGUUGCGUGCUCGUCUGCUGUUGAGUGCAAUAAAAAUUUUCGAAACCCUUUCUAUUAUUUAGAUGUAAUAUUAGUGUACAUUUAAUUUGGAUUAAAAGAUAAAUUUACAUUUUAUGUUUGCAUGUGUAUGUUUAUAAUUCAUUUGCAUGUAACGAACACCAGUUUCUUUUGUAACAAAAUGUAAACUAAUGGUUUGUAAUGAAUGUAAUUAACUUUAAGAUGAUUUUCUUUCAAUCUGCUGUUUGUUUCAUCUAGUAUUACCAAAGCUAAAGCAUCAGAAACGUCAGAAUAGAAAUAAUUUAGAUAGGGAAUAAAAGUAUAACUAAUGUAAUCAUGUCUAAGAUUACUAUAAGCGUCAUUAAGUACAAACUAUCAAUAUUGAAGAGUACUUUAAAUCAUCAUUACAUUUUUUAAACAUUUUUUGUUUUUCAAAUCAUGUAAUAAAACGUUUGUGCAGAACAAAAUGUCACAUGUUAUGAACAUGAUUGUGGGUUAAUCGUUUCUUAAAUUUCUAAAUGUUUAUAAGAAUGCUAAGAAUAAUUUAGUAUUCACUUUAGUGUGUGUAUUAUCUCUACAAUGCUAGUAUAAAUGACAAUUAUUGUAUGACGAAGCAUAGGUAGUGUUUAUAGAUGUAAUAUUUUCAUACAAGGUCAUGAUCUGUCACGAUCAACUUUAAGCAAGAACUGCUAUAGUUAAGAAACAAAUUUAUUAAAUUUAAUUCAAAUUGUCUACUAUGUUUGUAAUGGAAAGCUGACAUGUUUAUAUUUCGCACAAAUGACUUAAGUGACAUUGAAUGAUUUGAUUAUCUAGACUUAAUUAACUUUUAGAUAACUUUCGAUUUAAUGUUAUUAAGUACUCUAGUAGGAUUAAUCUAGAGGAGUUAUUGUUAUUCGAAAUUUUAUACAAUUGUACGUUCAUACUAUCUUUUAACAGUAAAUUGUUUGUAAUAUAGGGAAAUUAAAUAGCUUACAGAGAA